rnacentral:misc_RNA from 1 species
UUUCCGUAGGUGAACCUGCGGAAGGAUCAUUAAUGAAUGAAUGUAGAGUCGGGUUGUAGCUGGCCUCCCCCGGAGGCAUGUGCACGCCUGCUCUUUCAUCCACACACCCCUGUGCACCUAUUGUGGGUACUAUGUCGCGGAAGGGGGGCUGGCUAACGGCCUUUUGGAUGCGCAUAUACUCAUGUUUUACACACUACGCAUGUCCUAGAAUGUCUUUUUUUGCGAUAAUCGCAUGUAAUACAACUUUCAACAACGGAUCUCUUGGCUCUCGCAUCGAUGAAGAACGCAGC